UUUUCCGAAAAGGUAUCACAUGCC
rnacentral:siRNA from 1 species